rnacentral:lncRNA from 1 species
CAGGCUCGUGAGGGUGAAAUCUAGGCUCUGCCCACAGACUUUGCAAUUUUCUGAACUUUGGUGGAAUUAAAGUACUUCAGAAGUGAAUAUCAAAUGAAGAAAAAAAUCAGGCAGCUGCAUAUGUUGGCAUGAUUGAUGAGAUCUGCUACAGUCAAGCAAGCAGCCCUGGGUGACCAGUUUACCCUCCCCGGCUAGGGUUCCAGCUGCCAGUUGCUCCCAUUCUGUGACAGCUUCUCCUUCUCCUCACCUUGUCAUCAAGCCAAGAUUGUACACUGUAGGAGUACAGACUCUCUCACUUGUUGGCUUUGAUGAAGCAAGCUUUCAUGAUGGAGAGGCCCGUAGGGCAAGGAACUGAGAAGGGCCUCUCAUCAACUGCCAACACGGAAGUAAGGCCCUCAGUCCAACAGCCUGAAAGAACCGAAUUGUGCCCACAACCGUGUGAGCUUAGAAGCAUUUCCUUCCCCAGUUGAACUUUCAAAUGAAGACUUGGACCUGCUUGAUGCCUUGAAUUCUGACUUGUAAGAGACUUUGAAGCAGAGGGCCCAGUUAAGCCAUGCCAGGACUCUUGAC